rnacentral:lncRNA from 1 species
GUGGGCAGCUCCUGGCUGCUCUGCCCGUCUGCAGCCUCCAGGCCACCCUGGGAGGCCCAGGUUCCGGGAGGUAUGAUCAGUGUGUCCACACCAGACUGCAGGCAGAGCAGAGUUGAGGGACCAAGAAGGGUUGGGACAGGUGGGCAGGACCCCAGAACCACUCACAGCCCCGCUGGGUGGAAGCAAAUGGCCCCUCCUCACCCCUGCCCACCUUCUUGGCAGUCUGCCCCCAGGACUGGUCAGACAAGUUCUCGUGGCUGGCCUGGGUGUGGUCACCCUCUGGUGGGGGCCAGCAACGGGGCAAGGCGGGGAGCCUGGCACGCUAAGUCCUGGCACAGGGUCAGGGCAGUGACCCAUCUGUCCCACGCCUGGAGACCUCUGCAUGCCACGCGCCUGCCCUGCCCUGCUGUGGAGCUGGUCACCAUGCGUCAGGGAAGGGCUGGCAUGGCGUGAGGACCCGUCUGUCCUGCGUGGCCAGCUCGGCUGCCACCUCCUCGCCUUGUCUCUGCCCUGCCCGGAACACCAGGGCGCCCCAAGCUGGCCUCAAUGCUCACUCCCUGCCUGGCAUCCUGGCUUACAGUGGUGAGGCAGUACCUGCGCAGAGCAGCCUAGCGCCUGGUGCUCAGCCCCAGAGAGGCCCCCACCCUGCUCAGCAGACCAGGAGACGGCCCAGCACCCACGGCCCCAGCCUCCUCCUGCCUCAUCCUCAAGGCCUGGUCCAGGCCACCUCCUCCCGGAAGCCCAGGCCCCGAGGCAGGACAGGAGUGUCCACAGUGACUGUGUGUGUGUGUUCUCGGGUCCACAUAAAGGGGCAGAUGCCCUGUGUCCAGCUACAACCCCCUCCCAAAGGAGCCUGCAGCAAAGAAGAAUUGCUGGGAGGAAGAUCACCCUGCUUUAUUGCCUGGGCCUUAAGGUAAUCAGGGGUGUCCCUCUCCAGCCAGGACCUGGGAUUCCGUUUCAGGAGCUCGGGCUGAACGGCCACCUUCCUGGUGGGUCUGAGCCCCAGUGCCUGGUGUGAAGGGGCAGACGCCCAUGACAACAGCCACCCCGCAUGUCCCGGCAUGUCCCGGCACUGUGUGAGCCACAUUUGCUGAAGUCUGGGUCCUGGCCCUGGCAGGGUGGGCUGGGCUAGGAGAUGACACAGCAGCAGCAGCUGUGGCAGCGGCAGAAGGGGGGGCAGUGGCAGCAGUGGCAGCAGGGGCAGCAGCAGCAGUGGUGGGCGAUGUCAUCCCCGCGCCCCGCGGGCGGAGGGCCAGCGUAGGUCAGUCCGGCCUGGCGCUGACUGCUGCUGUAGGGGUUGCCAGGCUGCUGCCAGGCCUGCUGGUUCUGGAUGGGGGCAGCCCCCUGGUUACCCUUGGCGCCCUUGGGCCCUGGGACCUCGGUCGGCUGCAAGAGGUGGGUUGGCUCUGGGGCACAGGGCCCCACUGGCAGGGGCUGCAUCUCCGAGGAUGAGGAACAGGUGGAAGCCACCUCUAACUGCUGCCCCAGGUCAGGCCGCAGGUGAGCCCGGGGGAUGCUGAUGUGGGCAUAUGGGUUCUUGACGACCAUCUCUUGGGGGUCCAUGGUCCAGCCUGCAGGGGUGGGCAGAGAAGACAGACAUGAACUCAGUGGAGUGGGAUGGCUGCCCACGAGCCUGCGGCCCAGGAAAGCCCCCACCAGGAGCAGCGUGCCUCGUCCAAGCUCAGCAUCCCCAAGGCAUCAGUGCCGGGGUGCCAUCACCUCCAAAUGUGUGUGCAAGGCUAGUGUCAUGGGUGUGAGCCAAGUGUGAGCAAGCAGCAAGGGCCGGUGUCUCCCAGCUGCCACCCCUGCCAGGGAUCCUCCCCCUCCCCUGGUGGCAUUGGUCCUGGGAUGGAGCUGGGAAUGGGGUCGGGGAGGCUGAGAGAUGGGAGAGAAGGGGGCUGACCCUGCAGUGCCCCUGAGUUCAGGGCAGUCCCGGCGGCCAAGGGCUUACCUGUGGUGGCAACACGGCAGUCUGUCCUCUCGGUCUUCUGAGCUCUAGGUCCCAGUGCCUGAGUUGAGCGACUGGCAGCCGCCUUUUCCCUCCUUGGGAGGGGCGGGGCCAUGGGGCGGGGCUCAGAGAUGGGGUUCCCAAGAUCCCAAGAGGCCCCAGCAACUGGAGCACGACAGCUGGCCCAGCCCUCGUCCUCAGGUGGGUGGCAGCCCAGGCCUGGGCUCUGAGGGGCACUGCCAAACCAGUGACUCAGCCCCUCACAUCCGGGGCAUGGCCUGGGCCCUAAAGGGCAUCUGCAGCUUGCCUGAGAGGAGGGCAGGAGGUGAGCCUGAGGUCACGGCUCUGGAAAGGAAGUGGGGUGAGGCCCUCAGAUUCCCGGGCCUGCAGUCCCCAGCCAUUGCUCACACACCUCAAAGCC